rnacentral:lncRNA from 1 species
CACACGGUUAGGAUGUAGGAACUGUAUUACAAAAUGAAAAAACAACAACUUGAUGUGAAAACUGUCGAGGCUAAUAGACUAAAGGCCCCUAGCCCCAACAGCUGCAGCCGGCCAUCCCAAAAUUGCCAUGUGUUCAGCGCCGGCUUCCAUCCAUAGCUGAGCCUGAUGUAGAAUGGUCGUGGUCAGGUAGGUAGCGGAUUGGGCUGGUGAUCUGCUAAAGACUCUAUC